rnacentral:lncRNA from 1 species
UUGAAGAAAAAUUAUCUACCCUUUGAAAAAUGUUAAACUGUGGGUUAAUUUUCUCAGAAUGCCUUUUUUUGCCCUUGGAGUCAUUUUUCCAUCUAAAUCCGUUGAUUCUUUCAUGUGAUAGGUUAAGUAUUAUCGCAUAACUUUUUCUUUGUGAAACAUUUAAGGUAAUGAAGAAAGACUAAGUCAUUGAAUCAUUGAAUUCAUAAUAGUAGCCUUGCACAGCAAGGCUCAGAUUUUUUCCACCACAGAAAUGGUGUACAUACUCAUUUGAUAUUUGCCAAAAUCAGUGCAUGAAACGACUAUCAACUGUUUCCCAUCAACUUCUUGUGCCAAGAGAAGUCAGUUUUGCAGAACCAUUCUGCCUGCAAAUGUUGCGCAAGAAUGAACUAAAAAUUUUUUACAACUUAAAUUUUUACAGUUCCAAAUUGACUUAAUGUUAUACGUACUAUUUGAGAAUAUCCUGCACCCCUGCUUGUACUGAUUUGUUUCUUAGCAGGGGAAAUCUAAUCAAGUUCCCUAAUUGAGCUGCACUUCAUGAUGAGAAAUUCCACCUAGUUUCUUUUCUCUUUUAUUGGCUGUUGGCUCAUAUUUACAAUUAAGGAUUUAUUUAUUUUUAAAAGGAAAAAGGAAAAUAGUACAAGCAGUUUUCCAUAACCACCUCUUGCAGAGUUAAGCGAAAAAGUGUUGUUAAAUUGUUUUUGGUGCCUUGCAUUUUUAGGGAACUUGAUUACAUUCCUUGUUUUCGUUCAUCCUUCGCGUCUAAAGCGGUAUUUAUUUUAAAUGUAUUAUUAUUUGAUCCAAUAAAGUGAUAUACUUGGAUUUACAAAUUGUGAUUUUUACAUUAUUUUCCUUCUUUUACUACAGGCCAAACUGCUCACAAUCUGAUCUGAAGAGGGAAGGUUUUUUUUGGCAAAUCGCAAGUUUCUUACACAUUGCCAUCAGCAAUUUUUGCAUAAACUAAUUCACUGGGUCUCGUGCAUUUUUUCCAUAAGACAUAAUGACAUUGUAAGUCGGCAAUCACAUAGCUCUGUUAGGAACAUCGCAGACUUCCUGUCAUACUUUAUUUUUUAAACGGAAAACUACUCAACGGCAAUUCUUUAGAACUGCUGAUUUUUCUUCUCUGGGCGAAGAAAAUCCCGCAUAACUUCAAAUCAAGGAAUGAAGUCAAUUUGUUCUCCCUUUAAAAAUUAACUUGACAUCUUGACAUCCUGAGGACCCCUGUUUCUGUGAAAAGACAGGUAAAAGGAAUUUUUUUGAGCU